rnacentral:rRNA from 1 species
UACGGGAGGCAGCAGUGGGGAAUAUUGCACAAUGGGCGCAAGCCUGAUGCAGCCAUGCCGCGUGUAUGAAGAAGGCCUUCGGGUUGUAAAGUACUUUCAGUCGUGAGGAAGGUGUUAAGGUUAAUAACCUUAGCAAUUGACGUUAGCGACAGAAGAAGCACCGGCUAACUCCGUGCCAGCAGCCGCGGUAAUACGGAGGGUGCGAGCGUUAAUCGGAAUUACUGGGCGUAAAGGGCACGCAGGCGGUUAAUUAAGUUGGAUGUGAAAUCCCCGGGCUUAACCUGGGAAUGGCAUUCAAGACUGGUUAGUUAGAGUCUUGUAGAGGGGGUAGAAUUCCAUGUGUAGCGGUGAAAUGCGUAGAGAUGUGGAGGAAUACCGGUGGCGAAGGCGGCCCCCUGGACAAAGACUGACGCUCAUGUGCGAAAGCGUGGGGAGCAAACAGGGAUUAGAUACC